rnacentral:rRNA from 1 species
CAGCCGUAAACUAUGCGCGUUAGGUGUAUCGGUGACCACGGGUUACCGAGGUGCCGAAGGGAAACCGUGAAACGUGCCGCCUGGGAAGUACGGUCGCAAGGCUGAAACUUAAAGGAAUUGGCGGGGGGAGGCACCACAACAGGUGGGAGCCUGCGGGUUUAAUUUGGACUCAACGCCGGGAAGCUCACCGGAUAGGACAGCAGAAUGAUUGCCGGGCUGAAGACCCUGCAUGACUAGCUGAGAGGAGGUGCAUGGCGUCAGUGACUGU